UACGUAGGGGGCGAGCGUUGUCCGGAAUUAUUGGGCGUAAAGGGCGCGCAGGCGGUGGAGAAAGUCUGAUGUGAAAGGUCGUCGCUUAACGACGGAUGGUCAUUGGAAACUGCUUCACUUGAGGACAGAAGAGGAGAGUGGAAUUCCACGUGUAGCGGUGAAAUGCGUAGAGAUGUGGAGGAACACCAGUGGCGAAGGCGACUCUCUGGUCUGUGACUGACGCUGAGGCGCGAAAGCGUGGGUAGCGAACAGG
rnacentral:rRNA from 1 species